rnacentral:lncRNA from 1 species
AGAGGUUUUGCUUGUCUGUUUGAAAUUGACUCUCACUAUGUAGUCCUGGGUGAAACUCACUAUGUAGAUCAGGAUGUCCUUGAACUCACAGAGGUCCAUCUGUGUCUACUUCCCGAGUGCUGGGAUUAAAGGGGAGUGUGCCACAGUACCUAGUAAUUCAGCGGGUUUGAAGAUAGAGAUUCCUUUAUCUCGAGGUCAGAGGGAAAGAUUGAAGGAAUAGGAAGAAGAACUUUGGAAAUGGUGGUUGCAAUGGAAAUGGUCAGUGUGCCAAUGCCAUUGGAUUACAUAGUUAAAUGGGAAACUUUCUGUACAAUUAACUACAUUAAAAAAUGUACCAGAAGUUUGAAAAUCAUGGUAAAUCGCUGUAAGUAUAUCAACAUAUGCAUGUUGGGGCCAGGAUUUGGUGAGGGAAUGAGCAAACACCCCUGAAAUUUUAUGAAAUGCAUCCGUCUGACAAAUGCAGCCUUCUGACACUGUGACAUGACAUUGUCAUCUAUAAAUGUGCUGGGCUGCUUUCAUAACUAGCCAGGGAACACAUGAGGACAUGCUUACACUAAGAAAUCUGCACAUUUCGAGAUUUCAAGUAGGAUUUUAACCCAGAAAGACAUGGUGUAAUUAUUAAAGUGGGUUGUGCUUUAUAUCAAAGUUGCAGCUGUUUGUGUGGAUGAAGAGCUUUGUAGAUUUUAUCAGUGUGGGACAGGGGAAAGCCAUCAGUUACAGUCCCCCGAGACUUGCUCUGACAGCAAUAUGUGUGGUGAGUUUUUCCUUCCCUUCCCUUCUGUUCCGAGAUCACUGCUAGCCGGGGUUUGGUACACUUGUGUCUAUGGAAAGGCCUGAGGUUGGAGGUGAAGCGUGUGACUGCCUGGAAGAGAUGUGACAUAGAGACUUGCGUGUGGCAUAGUGAUUCUUUAAAGGAAACUGAUCUGCAGGGUGCCUGGGAACAGUCUGUUCCCUCACUGUUAGUUCCCAGAAGUGCAACGUUCUGAUCUUUCAGUAUAAUUAACUUGUUCAACCCUUGAAGGAAGUUGUGGGUAGGUAAGGAGCUAGUUAGUUACAGCUAAGGGCAGCAACUCUGCUUACAGACUCAACACAUAGGCUAAUGUUGGGCUGAAACCUUCUCUCUCUCUCUCUCUCUCUCCCCUUUAACUUUCCUCUUUGAAUUUUAAAUGAAUGCAAAUCUUGUGUGGACCUACAUUGUCCUGUGCAGCAUUUCCAACUGCAGCAUCUGGAGAGGGCUCGCUCUGUCCUGCCCUGCUCUCUCCCGUGCAGUCAGACAGGGAGACAAAAGCACCCCGUGAACACACGGUAUCUAUCAUGUAGACCAAAUGAUUGCAAAACCUUUGCAAUAUAGUCUUCAUGUUCCUCCUUUUCAAAGGAAGAUAAGCUAAUGUGUAUCUUUUAAAUGAAAUUUAUAGGUAGCCUGAAAAUUUCAACAUUCAGUUCUGAAAGGUGAGGUAAACACCCAAUUCCACUAUCAUGCCUAGCAAAAGCCACAUAAUUUUUAACAUCAUUAAUUAUCUAUCUACAUUUUGAAUCUCCUUAUCUGACCGCUAAAAUAUUCUUUUUUAAGUUGUAGUAAACUGUAUGUAAUCUAAAGCUCCCUGUUUUACCCAUACAGUUCAAUGGCAUUAAGCACCUUGAAAAUACUAUGUAAUAUCUCUUCUAUUUCCAAACGGUAACUCUACACACAAAGAGUAAUUCCUAUUUUUCUCUCCCCUCUGAAUUUCUUAGUUUUCUAUUUAACUCACACAAGAUCACAUACUUCAACCAGGCGAUCAGUGACUUAAGACUCUUUGUCUCUGGCGUUGUCUCCUCGCUCCACGUUCACAUGCAUUGCAUUCUCAUGACAUCAAUUUCUUGUUGAGUCCCAUCUGAUCGUUCCAUGGAAUGUCCCGUGAUCUCUAUUAUCUGAUUGCUUCUUUAUGCCACCACUAAACCUGUUCUCUGUGUUUCUUGUAAAUUGGAAGUUAGAGCUAAAAGCACAAUAAAAGUUAGGUACACACUUGGGUAAAGUUCUCUGGGUAAUUCUAUGUGGUUCCUACUAUAUCAUUAUAGGUCAAACAUAAUUUCUAGAUGUCUCACAAUUGGUAAGGCUAAUACUGAGUCUCUGGGUUAAGGAGAUAGUAGCCUAUUAGAUAAGUUUUGAAAGAUGAGACUUGAUUGC